rnacentral:rRNA from 1 species
CAGUAGCCGCGGUAAUACGUAUGUCACAAGCGUUAUCCGGAUUUAUUGGGCGUAAAGCGCGUCUAGGUGGUUAUGUAAGUCUGAUGUGAAAAUGCAGGGCUCAACUCUGUAUUGCGUUGGAAACUGUGUAACUAGAGUACUGGAGAGGUAAGCGGAACUACAAGUGUAGAGGUGAAAUUCGUAGAUAUUUGUAGGAAUGCCGAUGGGGAAGCCAGCUUACUGGACAGAUACUGACGCUGAAGCGCGAAAGCGUGGGUAGCAAACAGGAUUAGAUACCCGCGUAGUCCCUGUCUCUUAUACA